UGGCGGACGGGUGAGUAAUGUCUGGGAAACUGCCUGAUGGAGGGGGAUAACUACUGGAAACGGUAGCUAAUACCGCAUAACGUCGCAAGACCAAAGAGGGGGACCUUAAGGCCUCUUGCCAUCGGAUGUGCCCAGAUGGGAUUAGCUAGUAGGUGGGGUAACGGCUCACCUAGGCGACGAUCCCUAGCUGGUCUGAGAGGAUGACCAGCCACACUGGAACUGAGACACGGUCCAA
rnacentral:rRNA from 1 species